rnacentral:rRNA from 1 species
AGUGGCGGACGGGUGAGUAACGCGUGAGAAUCUGCCUUGGGGUCGGGGACAACCACUGGAAACGGUGGCUAAUACCGGAUAAGCCGAUUGGUGAAAGAUUUAUUGCCCGAAGAGGAGCUCGCGUCUGAUUAGCUAGUUGGUGAGGUAAGAGCUCACCAAGGCAGCGAUCAGUAGCUGGUCUGAGAGGACGAUCAGCCACACUGGGACUGAGACACGGUCCAGACUCCUACGGGAGGCAGCAGUGGGGAAUUUUCCGCAAUGGGCGAAAGCCUGACGGAGCAACGCCGCGUGGGGGAAGAAGGUUUUUGGAUUGUAAACCCCUUUUCUCAAGGAAGAACAAAAUGACGGUACUUGAGGAAUCAGCCUCGGCUAACUCCGUGCCAGCAGCCGCGGUAAUACGGAGGAGGCAAGCGUUAUCCGGAAUUAUUGGGCGUAAAGCGUUCGUAGGCGGCUGUUCAAGUCUGCUGUCAAAGACCGAGGCUCAACCUCGGGUAGGCAGUGGAAACUGGAUAGCUAGAGGUCGGUAGGGGCAGAGGGAAUUCCCAGUGUAGCGGUGAAAUGCGUAGAUAUUGGGAAGAACACCGGUGGCGAAAGCGCUCUGCUGGGCCGAACCUGACGCUGAGGGACGAAAGCUAGGGGAGCGAAUGGGAUUAGAUACCCC